rnacentral:rRNA from 1 species
AUUGAACGCUGGCGGCAUGCCUUACACAUGCAAGUCGAACGGCAGCACGGGAGCUUGCUCCUGGUGGCGAGUGGCGAACGGGUGAGUAAUACAUCGGAACGUACCCUGAAGUGGGGGAUAACGUAGCGAAAGUUACGCUAAUACCGCAUAUUCUGUGAGCAGGAAAGAGAGGGAUCGCAAGACCUCUUGCUUUAGGAGCGGCCGAUGUCGGAUUAGCUAGUUGGUGAGGUAAGGGCUCACCAAGGCGAUGAUCCGUAGCGGGUCUGAGAGGAUGAUCCGCCACACUGGGACUGAGACACGGCCCAGACUCCUACGGGAGGCAGCAGUGGGAAUUUUGGACAAUGGGCGCAAGCCUGAUCCAGCCAUGCCGCGUGAGUGAAGAAGGCCUCGG